rnacentral:misc_RNA from 1 species
CGGAGUUGCAAAACUCCCACAAACCAUCGCGAAUCUUACCCGUACGGUUGCCUCGGCGCUGGCGGUCCGGAAGGCCCUCGGGCCCCCCGGAUCCUCGGGUCUCCCGCUCGCGGGAGGCUGCCCGCCGGAGUGCCGAAACCAAACUCUUGAUAUUUUAUGUCUCUCUGAGUAAACUUUUAAAUAAGUCA